CGUUUACCCCAGCUGGGGAGGACCGGGCUCUGUACGCGACGCCUCAGCGGCCGCUAGAGUCGGAUAAAAGGCUGCCUAGGACACAGCCCCAAAGCACGCAGCUCCUGGGUCUAGACACAAGUGGCGGCCUGAGCACUGUUCCUUCCGGUGGAAGAUUGCAGACUGCUACAUACCCCUGGCCAGGAGCUGACUUCUUACAGCACCUCUGGGACCUUUCUACAGCAGGAUAUUGUAAUGGGGUAAGUCUGUGCACACUAACCUGGGAGAGAGCCAAGGUGUAUGCGUUGUGACAAUUUGCAGUGUCCCAGCAGAAAAGAGUUUUGGAUAUCCUUGGUACCUUUAUGGGAAAUCCUUUAAUAACUGGGAAGUUAUUCUUACAGCCUUUUUCUCUCCAGGUUUGCUAUUCACCUCCACUUUUCACAUAUGAAAAAAACUGGGUCCGUGAGGGAAGGGACUUGCCUGAUAAGCUGGGGUCCUGACUCCUGGGACAGAUCUGGGGUGGGGCCUGGAUGGGAAGGACCGAUAGGUAUGGUGUCAGCCCCUAGACUCACCUGGUUGCUUCCUGUAGGCCAUUUUAGGAAAAGGUCCAGAAACAAGACCCCUCAGGCCAGAAAAGGGACUGAAUAGGUUGCAUAAGGCAACUCCUGCUUUUGUACUGGAAAACCCAAAUAAAAGGCUGCUACUGA